CAACAAAUAGAUCAAGGUGGGCCCCACGGUCAGGAACUCACCCUCCAACUUGUUACCCCGGACUCACCGAAUCCGCGCCCUACUUUCAUAUAACCAAAUGACCAAAAUACCCUCAUCUACGACCAAAAUCCAAACAGGCGAGCCUGAGAGGGGAAAAAGCCCUUGCGAGAAAAUGAGGAAAGCUUGGGAGAAGCCGAUGGUGGAAGGCAGCGAGAUCGAGGAAAAAACCCAAAAGAGCGAAGGAGGAGAGAGCUCUGGUUCGAUCCAGAAACCCCUUUUCAGACUCGCUACAGACGACACAAAGCCAUUCCUCCGCGACCCCGUCCAUUCUGCGAUCGGAUCCGAUUGAGACGGAGGAAGCCGUGCUAAGAUUGCCCCCUUUCCCCAAUUCCAAAUGACGGAGGGCAUUUCUGGUAAUUUCUUCUUUUUUUAAGGGUUGAAACGGAAUCCAAUACUACCAAGACAGUGCGUGUGGUUGUGCGUGUGAAACUACUCAAAUCUAUUUGUUUGGUGGUCCAUGUGUCUACCAUUUCAAUU